AUAAUCCUUGUAUGUAUUUGGUUGCUAAUACCUACUAUAUAUGCAAGUAUUUGUUAGGAUUUGGUUAGAUUUAUAGUUUAUUUUCUAGUUAGAUAAGAAUUAGAUAAGAAUUAAUAUUUAAAUCUGUUGAAGAUAAAUUAAAAUUUAAAUAUUAAUUAGAGUAUGAAUCUAACUAGAUUAGGAUAAAUAUUUAAAUCUAUUAGAGAUAAAUUAAUUAAGAUUUAAAUAUUUAUUGUAGUAGGAAUCCUAAAUACAUUAGGAUUGGGGUACGUUUUGGUGGAGGUAUAUAAAUAGUUUUUGAUGGGAUGCUUUUGGUUGAGAGAGUACGGUGAGAGAGUGUGCCAUCUUGGGUGAAAUCGUACUAAGAGAGAAAAUCAUAGUUGAGUGCACGAGUACACGUGGACAGUUGUUUUCUUUCUGGGUUUAUAGAAGACAAGAGAAGAGUAAAAGAGAUUCAAAAAGAGGGCUCGAGUUAUAGCUACUUUGUUACAGAAAAGUAGUCAGGUGUAAUAUUAUAAUAUACUGAACUUUUACGAUGGUAAAGUCUUGGUGGGAACUAGCUUAAAAUGCUAUUAAAAUAGUUCCGGCAAAGUUCGGGAAACAUUCGAGUGUUUUGGUGCAAAUUGGGCACGAAAACGGAUUUGUGAAGCCGUAUUAGACUUUGGCUAGAUUCGGCAAAGUACAAUUGAGAAGAAGGUUUAAACGUGCUCAAAAAUAAGAUUUGAGGGUUUUGGAAUGGUUAGAAGUGGAUUGGAGCUUUAAGGAGUGAGAACUUGCAUUUUUUGAAAAAUGCAGUUUUUGGAGCUGAUGGACCUUCGAGAUCCGGAUCCCGCGUGCGUGCUGGCUGCCUUGAAUGUGGGCAUUUUGGUAAUUUUGAAGGGGGGCUUUAUAUAGGACCUCUCCUCUUUCUCCUCCCUGUUGGAAAACACACACACACACACACACACACACACACACACACGCUGUCACGCCCUGAACCCGGUCCUAUUUGGCCAGUUCGGAUACAUCGAACAGAUGCCGAACGGACGACACCUUCCCCAUCCGCCCAAGGCUCAGCAACAAGUACAAAUAGAGUACAAAAUUUGCACAUGCGGAAGCAAACACAAUGGCUUGCACGAGGGCAAGUAGUAGCCAAAGUGAAAGUACUGUCUAAUUAACAUACAAGUAAUAUGAUUAAAUUUAAAUCACAUACAUGCAUUCAACUUUAAUAAACUUCCAUUACAUUCUUUGUAUCAUUUCUUUUGUACAUCACAUAUUCCUCAAAAUAUAACAAUUUGCAAUUAACUAUAAAAUUCUUUUAUAUCGUUCAUUUAAACAUGUUCAUAAUACUAAAAUCAUCAAAAUACAAAAGAUAAUAACUAAAGGGUAUGCAACUAAACCAAAAUGUGAAACCAACUCG
rnacentral:lncRNA from 1 species